rnacentral:lncRNA from 1 species
UUUUUUUGGCUGCACCCACAGCAUAUUAAAGUUCCUGGGCCAGGGAUUGAACCAGUGACACAGCAGCUGCAGUAACACCACCAGAUCCUUAACCUGUUGUGCCAUAAGGGAACUCCAGAAGAUUUUAAAAGCUUAUUAGUUUUGCUUAUUAGUGGUGCAAAUUGGGAAGGAGAAAAGAAAAAGAAAAAAGCAAUAAUCUUUAUUCAAUGUUCUAUUUAACAGCCAUUUCACUAAUAAUGUAGAAAGUUUUACAGAACAAUGACUUUUUGGUCAUUAUCUUUCUCUUGUUUCAUAAUCUUAUUUCAUAAAACUUUUAUCUUGCAAUAUUAGGGCUCUUUUUGUAAUCUAGUUUGUAUCAUUUAGGGGGAAGAUAAGCCAUACAUGUUAUGUGUGUGUAUCUAGGCCUGUUUUUCUGUCUUUGUCUCUCUCUCUAAAUUACACAUAUAACUUAGAAGUGGAACAAUUCAUGUGUUAGUUAAACACUUAUUUACAAGUUAAAUUCCUUUAUGUAUUUCAUACUGCGCUCACAUAAAAAUAUCUUACGCUCGUAUAGAUGUGAGAAUUCACCUCUUUGGAGAAUUCAUUUUAAUGUCUUUGGGUUUUUCAGAACAUAGUUUGCAUCUUAGUGAUGUGCAUGAAAGAGUGGCCAGGAGAACUCAGGUAUGACUUACUGUUACAACAUAGGUGGUACUGGCUGAUUUCCUCAACACACAGUGGUAGCAUGAGUUCUUGGAUGGUCACAGCUGUGAGCUUAUACUCUGAGUCUGUCUAAGGACCACCAGGCUUUACCACUCCCCACAAGGCCUGGUAAAUACCUGAGAAUUUUGGCUCAGUAGGCUCACGCAGAGCCUGGGAACUUGUGUAUUAAUACACCCCAGGCAAUUCUUAUCACACAAGCCUGAAAAACAGUGAUAUCAUACAUGGAAAGGAGCACAUUGAAGGAGAAGGCUGGAAAUGUGGUUUGACAUAUACUCUGGACACUAAGAAUAUCUCAGGAGUACUGGCAAUUUUUAUAGACCAUGGCAAACCAUGCAAGAUUUUUGAAGAAGGAAAUAAUCAGAUUUGGGCUUUGUAGGAGUUACUAGGCAGUAUUGUACAAUUAAGCUAAAUGGUGAAGAGACUAAAAAUGUACUAGUUGGAAGACUACUACAACAGUUAGAAGAAGUAAUAAGCACGAAAAGUCGGCAACAAAAAUGGAAGACUGAGUCAAUCAAGAUUGAGCUCAACUUGAUGUGGAAGGGAGCAGAGUAAGAGUUCCAAAAAUGACACCACUGACGGGAGUUCCUGUCGUGGCUCAGUGGUUAAUGAAUCUGACUAAAAACCAUGAGGUUGCAGGUUCAAUCCCUGACCUUGCUCAGUGGGUUAAGGAUUCAGCGUUGCCAUGAUCUGUGUUGCAGACUCGGCUCGGAUCCCACGUUGCUGUGGCUCUGGCAUAGGCCGGCAGCUACAGCUCCAAUCAGACAUCUCCUUUGCUAGGAGGUGCUAGAUACAUCUUCUCAGCUCUUUGAAACUCAUUUACAAAUCAUACUGGUAAAACCUAUCUUGCAGGACUGCUUUCAAGAUUAAAUGAUAUUAUUUGUGGAGUUUCCAUGGUGGCUCAGCAGAAACGAAUCUGACUAGGAUCCAUGAGGAUGCAGGUUUGAUCCCUGGCCUCACUCAAGGGUUAAGGGUCCAGCAUUGCCAUGAGCUGUGGUGUAGUGUAGGUCCCAGAUGCAGCUCGGAUGUGGCGUUGCUGUGGCUGAGGUGUAGGCCAGCAGCUACUGCUCCAAUUCGACCCCUAGCCUGGGAACCUCCAUAUGCCAUGGGUGUGGCCCUAAAAAGACCAAAAAAAAGAUCCACAUAGGCUCUCAAUAUACACUUUUUGAAUGAAUGAAUUAUUACUGCUAUUAGCAAUUCUAUUGAAGACUGAGAAAAGAUCAUGGGAUUUGCCCAUUAGACUGUAAUUGCUGCACUCAGAGAUUGCUCAAAUGCCUAGGGGUUUUGAACACUGGGGGAAAUCAAAGUCAGUCCAAGUGGUAAUGACAUUCUAAAUCAAGUAGCAUUAUAGAGUAAAAGAGUUUUUCAGGUUUUAUUGGUUUGUCUUUUAUAUUCUGCAUGUUAAAGAAACAAAGCCUUCCAGCUAGGAAGUAAAAAUAUGCUUUAUUAACAUUAACAGGUUUUAAAAUACCUUAGGUUUUAUUUAGUUUUUAUAGUAUAUUAUCUCAUUCACUCUUUAGCUCCUUGAGUUAAGGAAUUCAGUUACUACUAUUGCCAUUUCUAUUUUAAAGAUGCACAAAGUGAAGAGAUCUCUUGUGGUGCAAUAAUGUUGUCACUGCUGCAGCUCAGGGUCACUGCAGUGACGUGGGUUUGAUCCCUGACCUGGGAACUUCCACAUCU